rnacentral:lncRNA from 1 species
AAAAUAUGUGUAUCAACUAACUGAUAAUGAACACAUUCUAAAUAACAUACAGGUUUUAAAUAACACUUUAAUAUAGUAAAUCUUAUAAACAAUUUAAUAAUAACAGCAUUGUAAGGUUAAUUUAGCUAUGACGAAUAUAACGAAUAACAGUAACAUGACUUCCUGUUCAUCUUAUUCAAAUAAAAUUGCUACUACUGACUUUGGUACCGAUUUGAAUAAUAUGAAUAAUGAAAAUAAUAGAAACGAUAAAAGUGGAAACACAUGUAAUAGCAAUGACAAUAGUAACAAAAAUGACAUUAAUGUGAGUCACAUUAUUCAACAAGAAAACGAACAAGAAGGUUAUGCGAAUACUUUCAAUGAUAAAAAUGAUAGUAACGGCUGUAGUAAUAAAAUUAAUAGCAUUUUCAAAGAUGCCGAUAGUGCAAGAAGUUUCGAAUUAGGUAUAUUAUACCUGACGGAAGAAGAAUAUAUUACUAUAUCCAAUAAAAUAAACGCAUUAGGGUUCAGGUUUUACGAACUCCCUUGUGAAAAAUCAAAUACUGAAAAAAGAAAUACAUUUAGUGCUAUAUCAAAAAGACAUUUAAACGAAAUAAAAAAUCUACGAUGUUCUUUAUCUAGUAAUAUAUACGAUGCUGGUAAAAGGCAUCCGAAGAAUACAUUUCAUCGAACAUAUUCCAAAGAUGAAUUCAAUAGUUCUAUUAGUUUAAGUAACACUAUUAAAGAAUUUGAUAUGGAUACAUAUACAGAUAAUUAUGAAGAUGGAGACAAAUAUGCAAAUGAUGGUGAGUAUGAUUAUGACGAAAGGUAUGAUGGUCAUGAUAAUAGAGAAGGUAUAAAAAAUAGCACAACAAAAAAAAAUAAUAAUUAUUAUGAAAGCGAAAAAGUAAACAGAGCUGCUCUUGUUUCUUCUACUAACAGUACCAAACAACAAACUUAUAAAAAAAUGGAGAGUAGUAUAAGUUCUGUUUCUAAUACAAGAUUAAAUGAAAAGGAUAUUAAGAAUCGAAAUGUUAUUGAUUCCAAAAAAAUAGACUCCAAUAAACGUAAUGUAUAUAAUAACCGUAAUAAUAGUAUCAGUAGCAAUAGUAGAUAUAACCGUAGUAGUAAAAGUAAUAGCAACCAUAGUUAUCGUAGUAGUAGCAAAUUGAGUAGCAAAUAUGCAUACGAGUCAGAUGCAAAUGCUAUGAUUGCAUCUGGUAAAAGUCGAGGUGGUCAAAAAAUGGGAAAUAAAUCGAAUAAUAGUAGUAAUAAAAAAGUAUUAGCUAAAAGAAUAAGAAAUGAAAAAGAAGUAGGUCCGAAAAAAAAAAAUAAAAUAAAAUAUGAUUGUAAUAACUAUAACGGUAAUAAUUU